GACAGAGGAUGCAAGCGUUAUCCGGAAUGAUUGGGCGUAAAGCGUCUGUAGGUGGCUUUUCAAGUCCGCCGUCAAAUCCCAGGGCUCAACCCUGGACAGGCGGUGGAGACUACCAAGCUGGAGUAUGGUAGGGGCAGAGGGAAUUUCCGGUGGAGCAGUGAAAUGCAUUGAGAUCGGAAAGAACACCAACGGCGAAAGCACUCUGCUGGGUCGACACUGACACUGAGAGACGAAAGCUAGGGGAGCAAAUGGG
rnacentral:rRNA from 1 species